GGGCCCGCACAAGCGGUGGAGCAUGUGGUUUAAUUCGAUGAUACGCGAGGAACCUUACCAGGGCUUAAAUGUAAGUUGCAUAGAUCAGAGAUGGUCUUUUCUUCGGACUACUUACAAGGUGCUGCAUGGUUGUCGUCAGCUCGUGCCGUGAGGUGUCAGGUUAAGUCCUAUAACGAGCGCAACCCCUGUCGUUAGUUACCAGCAAGUAAUGUUGGGUACUCUAGCGAGACUGCCGGUGCAAACCGUGAGGAAGGUGGGGAUGACGUCAAAUCAUCACGGCCCUUACGUCCUGGGCUACACACGUGCUACAAUGGCUAGGACAGACGGCUGCAAACCAGCGAUGGGGAGCUAAUCCGACAAACCUAGUCGUAGUCCGGAUUGCACUCUGCAACUCGAGUGCAUGAAGCUGGAAUUACUAGUAAUCG
rnacentral:rRNA from 1 species